rnacentral:lncRNA from 1 species
CUCCUCACCAGGCACACUCACAUGCUUGUGUUUUCUUCCUUCAGCUGAAUGACCCUGGUAACGCGUCUUCAUGUCCUGCGGUCCAGCGCGUGCAUACCCGUCACAACUGGCCCAUGGGGCCCGCUGGAGCCGGCCAUCCGAGAAGCUGAGUCUGAAACCACAAGUGGCAUCUGACCCUGCCCUGAGCCAGGCCGGCUCUAACAGCUGGGGGCACAGCACGGGACCCACGGACAGAAACCCCUGCUGGCCAGAGCCUCUGCUCUAGAGCGGAAGCCCUACAAUGCAGAGAGAGCGCAACAGGCAAGCACAGCAGCUACCACCCUGACCCUGGGCUGCCGCCCCACAGCCUCCUGUGACAGCGACAACCAAAGCCCCAGGUGAGCAUGGAGGAACUGCAGGGGAGCUCAGCAUCCCUGUCCUGGCAGAGAAGGCUUCUAGGUAAGGAGUUUCAAGCUACGGGAUCAUAGGGCUACUCCCACUUCUCGGCAGCAUCCCAUCGAAGGCAAAGCCCCGCUUCCUCGGGCCCUGAUUGUUAAACACCAGGCCCAGCUCUCUAGCUCAGAGGCCCAGCAUGUCCCGCGCUCUG